rnacentral:lncRNA from 1 species
CAUCCUAGGGAUGAAGAUCUAUAGGGAUGAUCUAGAAGGUUGCUUGGAUUAUCCCAAUCUACGUAUAUUGAUACCAUGUUGAAACGGUUCAACAUGAAAAAUUUCAAGAAAGACAUCUUCUGAUAGAUCAUGAAAUUACUCUCUCCAAGAAGGAUUAUCGACAACCCUUGAGGAGAGAGAGCGUAUGAGUAGAAUAUCAUAUACUUCGAUAGUGAGAUCUAUUAUGUACACCAUAACAUG